rnacentral:rRNA from 1 species
AGUGAACGCUGGCGGUAGGCCUAACACAUGCAAGUCGAACGGCAGCACAGUAAGAGCUUGCUCUUACGGGUGGCGAGUGGCGGACGGGUGAGGAGUACAUCGGAAUCUACUUUUUCGUGGGGGAUAACGUAGGGAAACUUACGCUAAUACCGCAUACGACCUACGGGUGAAAGCAGGGGAUCUUCGGACCUUGCGCGAUUGAAUGAGCCGAUGUCGGAUUAGCUAGUUGGCGGGGUAAAGGCCCACCAAGGCGACGAUCCGUAGCUGGUCUGAGAGGAUGAUCAGCACCACUGAACCUGAGACCCGGCCCAGCCCCCUACGGGAGGCGGCGGUGGGAAUUUUUGGCCAAGGGGCGCAACCCUGAUCCACCCAUCCCGCGUGGGUGAAGAGGGCCUUCGGGUGGUAAAGCCCUUUUGUUGGGAAAGAAAAGCAGCAGGUUAAUACCCCGCUGUUCUGCCGGUACCCAAAGAAUAGCACCGGCUAACUUCGUG